UUUUCUUUUUAAUUAACUCUGCUAUUUUGUUAGUUGAUCAAAUUAUCCUGCUCUUUAGUCAUAAUUUGCUCUUUUUAAUAUUUUGUUAAUCAAAAUAAUGAUUAUAAUAAUUGUCCGUACUCGAUUGUAUUACUGUAUAAGCACAAAAAUAUAUAGGGACGAAGUUAUAUAGAGGUCCAAGGUGGCCAUGGCCCCCUUCAACUUUUCAAUAUUUGUUUAAAUACUAAAAGUCUUUAUUUCUUAAAUUUUUCACUUAUUAUGGCUAUAAAGUUUUCUCCGAAGUUAGAGAGUGUUUUACCAUAAUUUAUUUUGAUGCAAUGCAAAAGUUAUAGAAGAUUCAACAAAACUGCUCAACACUCCACAAGAGUAAUGAAUCAUACUUAGGUAAGUUUUUGGCAUAAUUUAUUUUGAUGCAAAAGUUAUAGAAGAUUCAACAAAACUGCUCAACACUCUACAAGAGUAAUAAAUCAUACUUAGGUAAGUUUCAGCAGAUUGAUCAUAUACUAUUUAAAUAAAUUUUUAACAAAAUUAUGGCAACGCUUAUAUUUUUUUUCCUUUUUAUAUAUAUUUUCAGAAUGUUUUUGGAUCUUGAAUAAAAAGUUAGUAUUUAAUCAACUUUUUACUAAGCUGCCACGAAGCGUGGCGCGGGUCCUAUAUUAUAUAUAAUAUAGAUAUAUGAAUGUAUAACUCUCAUAUCUUUUGCCAUUUCUUUUUUCUAUGCCUCUCUUUGUUUCUUUCUUCAUUUCCUCACUGUAUUUUUUUUUGUAUAUGUAUAAUUUCAGACUAUUAUCAAUAAUCAAUAAUAAUAAAAAAAUUAUUUCGAUAAUAUCUAUCCGCUGCAUUACGCGGGUAACUACACUAAUAUGCAUUAUUUGAUAAAACUAUGUGUCUAUUAACUAAGCUAAAACAUACGAUUAUACUAAAACAUACGCCCG
rnacentral:lncRNA from 1 species